CCUACGGGAGGCAGCAGUGGGGAAUCUUGCGCAAUGGGCGCAAGCCUGACGACGCAACGCCGCGUGGAGGACGAAGAUCUUCGGGUCGUAAACUCCUGUCGAGUGGGAAGAACGGCCCGCGGAUGAACAAUCCGCGGGAGUGACGGUACCACUAAAGGAAGCCCCGGCUAACUCCGUGCCAGCAGCCGCGGUAAU
rnacentral:rRNA from 1 species